UGCUCGGUCAGCCAGCGUCUGGGAUGGGAGCGCUCCUGCAUUUUACAUGACUGCGGGGCCUGUUCCUUGCGCCUGUCUGGUCGCGUCACAUCAUGGAGGGUUUCUCGGGGCGGCCGGCCGCCUCUGAGCACAGCCAGGGUGGUGUUUGCAGCACAGCUGCUGCCUAGGCCUCGCUGCGGAGGUGCUGGGCCACGGCCCCGUGGAGGCAGAGCCGCAGGGCCAUCGACAUGUCCUUUGAAAACGGGCAUUUCCCCAACUCAUGCAGGUGGAGGGGAGAGCGAAGCCAAAUGGGACACCGGCCCCCACACACUGCCCCGGCUCCUGCAUUUCCGGAGAUGGAAACCUGGAGAGCAGCUGGGAUCUUGAAAACGUGGGUUGGACUGCGUCACCCCGACCCCUGCCUCAAAGCCCCUCCGUGGUUGCCUACAGCACAGCUUGAAGCCCCUUGGUUCUGCUUCCCGGGCCUGCAGCGCUGGCCCCAGCCUGGCCGAGCGAGCAUUUGUUCACCCAAGACCUUUCCCCUCCUGCCCUCGUGGAGCCUCCACAAGGAGUAAACAACCACUUCUGGUCCCUCAAAGCAUCAACUCUGUGCCUUGCAGACAGCGGACACGUAACACAGCCACGCGGCGUGAACAUGAGCAGACUUCUUUUUUCCAGGAUGUGCACGGUUUCCACGACAAUGCCCACUGCACGCCUUAUGGCCUCACCAGAGACGUAAAGCAGAUGCCAAGAAACUUCCCCCCAAAAUGGGCUGGCUUGCCAAGCCCAGGACCGCCUGUCCAGCUGGGGCUGGGGGCAAGGAUCCCAUUUUCUGUGACUCUCUUUGCUCUGAUGGUCAGGUUCACCGGCCGUACGUGUAAUCUGAAGCAUUCGGUAGCGAUCUAAUUAAAUGUUAACACAUCAUUAAAGUGAUUUGCGAUAAGCACA
rnacentral:lncRNA from 1 species